AUUGAACGCUGGCGGCAGGCCUAACACAUGCAAGUCGAACGAGUGGCGGACGGGUGAGUAAUGUCUGGGAAACUGCCCGAUGGAGGGGGAUAACUACUGGAACCGGUAGCUAAUACCGCAUACCAUCGGCUUUGCCCAGAUGGGAUUAGCUGGUAGGUGAGGUAACGGCUCACCUAGGCGACGAUCCCUAGCUGGUCUGAGAGGAUGACCAGACACGAUGGAACUGAGACACGGCGCAGACGCCGACGGGAGGCAGCAGGGGGGAAUAUUGCACAAUGGGCGCAAGCCUGAUGCAGCCAGGCCGCGUGUAUGAAGAAGGCCUUCGGGUUGUAAAGUACUUUCAGCGGGGAGGCGGUACCCGCAGAAGAAGCACCGGCUAACUCCGUGCCAGCAGCCGCGGUAAUAC
rnacentral:rRNA from 1 species